rnacentral:rRNA from 1 species
GAUGAACGCUGGCGGCGUGCCUAAUACAUGAAAGUCGAGCGAACGGACGAGAAGCUUGCUUCUCCGAUGUUAGCGGCGGACGGGUGAGUAACACGUGGAUAACCUACCUAUAAGACUGGGAUAACUUCGGGAAACCGGAGCUAAUACCGGAUAAUAUUUUGAACCGCAUGGUUCAAAAGUGAAAGACGGUCUUGCUGUCACUUAUAGAUGGAUCCGCGCUGCAUUAGCUAGUUGGUAAGGUAACGGCUUACCAAGGCAACGAUGCAUAGCCGACCUGAGAGGGUGAUCGGCCACACUGGAACUGAGACACGGUCCAGACUCCUACGGGAGGCAGCAGUAGGGAAUCUUCCGCAAUGGGCGAAAGCCUGACGGAGCAACGCCGCGUGAGUGAUGAAGGUCUUCGGAUCGUAAAACUCUGUUAUUAGGGAAGAACAUAUGUGUAAGUAACUGUGCACAUCUUGACGGUACCUAAUCAGAAAGCCACGGCUAACUACGUG